rnacentral:rRNA from 1 species
UGGGGAAUAUUGCACAAUGGGCGCAAGCCUGAUGCAGCCAUGCCGCGUGUAUGAAGAAGGCCUUCGGGUUGUAAAGUACUUUCAGCGAGGAGGAAGGCGAUGCGGUUAAUAACCGUGUCGAUUGACGUUACUCGCAGAAGAAGCACCGGCUAACUCCGUGCCAGCAGCCGCGGUAAUACGGAGGGUGCAAGCGUUAAUCGGAAUUACUGGGCGUAAAGCGCACGCAGGCGGUCUGUCAAGUCUGAUGUGAAAUCCCCGGGCUCAACCUGGGAACUGCAUUCGAAACUGGCAGGCUUGAGUCUUGUAGAGGGGGGUAGAAUUCCAGGUGUAGCGGUGAAAUGCGUAGAGAUCUGGAGGAAUACCGGUGGCGAAGGCGGCCCCCUGGACAAAGACUGACGCUCAGGUGCGAAAGCGUGGGGAGCAAACA